CUAACCAGGAUUCCCCUAGUAACGGCGAGUGAAGAGGGAAUAGCCCAGCACCGAAGCCUGCGGUAGUUUUACUGUUAGGCAAUGUGGUGUUUGGGUCGGCUCGCGGGGUUGCCACUCCACUCGAAGUCCAGCAUUGAGUAUGGUCCACUGGAUUUGGCCCAGAGAGGGUGAAAGGCCCGUACGGGUGGAGGUUUCAGACAAGUAAGGCAACUCACUAGGCCGGCCUUAGAGUCGGGUUGUUUGGGAAUGCAGCCCAAAGAGGGUGGUAAACUCCAUCCAAGGCUAAAUACUAGCACGAGUCCGAUAGCAAACAAGUACCGUGAGGGAAAGUUGAAAAGUACUUUGAAGAGAGAGUAAACAGUACGUGAAGCCGCAUGCAGGUAAACGGGUGGCGUCAAGCUGCAAGCCCAGAGGAUUCAGCCGGUUAGAGUGUAGUACGCGCUUGCGUGUCAAACGGCCAGUGUAAGAUUGGGUAGUCCACUGGAAGACAGUGGGCCCUGCCGCAAGGUGUGGGUGUGUGUACCGAGUGGAAGUCGGAGCACGCUAUCCGUCUGUUGGGCCAUCUAGCCGGUGCACUUUCUCUGUGGUGAACACCACGACCGGUGGAACUGCCAGUCUGCUAUGGUCAAGUCGUGUUUGGUCGGUCCUUGUGGCCUUCUGAAUGCGAUCACGGGCAAAUUCGGUGAACGGCGUAGAUGUGCUCUCGGGUAUGUCUGCGUGUUAUCGGCUACCGGUUGUCUUAACGGGCCUGCCUUACGAUUGUCAAGCCGUCGUAGGGUGGUCUGGUGGACCUUAGUGGUAAGAAUAACUGUGCAGGGCACUGGAGUUUUCGGCCUCAAAUGCAGCCAGCAUGCACGCUUGUGGUGUCAAUUGUGGGUGCUCUCGUGGCCUGCCUGUUAUCGGGUCUGAUUGUCGUGUUGCCUGCGCAAAGUGGGUUCGGCAGUGGCUCGGUGCAGGUUGGGUCUCGUGGGGUGUCUACAGUGUUGGUUGUAGUGGGCCUGAUAGUCAGUGGUGUAGUGGUAGACGAGCUACCCGACCCGUCUUGAAACACGGACCAAGGAGUUUAACAUGUGUGCAAGUCAUGGGGUCUUACGAAACCCAAAGGCGUAGUGAAAGUGAAGCUUCGUGUCCCUCGGGGCAUGGAGUGAGGUGAGAUCCCGUCGUUUCUCCGCCAGUCUCUUCGGUCAGAAGCAGGCAUUAGAGCGGCGGGCGCAUCACCGGCCCGUCCCAUGAUGUGGUCAUUGGAAAAGGCUGCUGUGGGUUCGC
rnacentral:rRNA from 1 species